AAGUUCCUCCCCACCAUGAGGCCUACGCCAAGAAAAAUGCAAAGCCAGGGGCUUUCUGCAGUCCCUAAGGGUCACACGGGAUUUGUGAAAAUCACCAGAAGGCAGUCUAGGGGCUGUGGGGGUCACGACGGCCGGUCUGGGGAUGAUAGAAGUCACCAAAGGUCAAAGAGGGCGGUGUUAAGACCUGGCCUUAGCCUGGCUCCAGGAAGUGCCUUCGAUGCCAAAACCCAGUAGGAGGUGUGCAGGCCUCGGUACUUGGUAAGCAGAAAGCGCCCCGUUCCAACUCCAGAGAGCGCCCCUGGGAGACGGGGCUAAGCCGGAUGAUCUGGGCCUCGAGCCUCACCUCUACCCCAGGUGGAGACUCCAGCCUGUUUUCGUCGCCCUCCCAGCUUGACGACGGGCCUGUUGCCUGGAGAUGUGAGCGCACUGGCCGUGUAAUGGGGGCGUGAGGGCUGCAGAUCCUCAGUCUCUUCUCCAUCCGAGACAAGCAAACCAAUAAGGACCGUCGCGCGUGGAGGGCUCCCAACACCCUUUCGCCCGAUUGUGCUUAGUGAGGCUCCUUUACGGCGCGUUUCCAGACCGCUCCGGACUACCCUAAGUUCUCCCAUUUAUAUGACUGAGAAACUGAAGAGUCCGGCGGGAAGAAGGGACGUGGGGUUGUCAAGCCCGUGCCAAAACUGAGGCGAGAGCCGCGCCUCGCGUUUUCGUAAGAGCUGGGCUCUGCGUGGACCUUCGGACGGCGGAGAAAGAGCCCAGGGUGGAGGGGGCGCUUCCGACACCUUGACCACUGAACCCACACUUCAACGCGUCCCUACUUAACAGAUAAAGAGACUGAGGUGUCCAGUACGGAAGUGACUCGCGCCAGGACUCGGCGGUAUGGAGGGAGUGGGAAGUAGACAGGUAUUCCAGCCUCUACGGGCUACGGGCGAUUAGCGCUUCCCCAUGGUUUGGGCAGGUAUCCGCCCCUUUGGGGACCGCCCACUCGGGCGCCUGCCCGCUGGUCCCGACUGGCGGAAGCCCCAGGCCAAUCAGGCCCUGGGGGAGGGGGGAAACGUCGCUCUUCGGGUCCUGCACCCUUUUAGAUAAGCCUGGAAUGUCAAAUAUUUGUUCUCCGGGCAGGGCCCAACAACGAAGUAAGGCUCCUCCCGUACCCUUCCUGGAGCGCGCCUGCGCCAGGCGGAGUUGGGGCUUCCUCUAUCCAAGCCUUUGCAGUAAACUCUUCACCCCAGCGGCACUCCUAAACUCCCUUGACGUACAUUGUUCCUUGUCGGGCUCCUGUCUCCCGGAGUCACCACCCUGCCAUCUGGGUGCUUACUUGAUCUCGGUCUGACCCUUCCUGGCGCCCCCAUCCGUUCAACCUUCCCGCUAGGCCUUUCCGUAUUUU